rnacentral:lncRNA from 1 species
UGGCAUGGGAAAGUGGGUCCAUCUGAACUGUUUACUGUUUGUUCAUCGAUUAGCAGAAGAGUCCAGGACAAACGCUUGUGCGAGUAAAUGUAGAGUCAUUAACAAGGAGCAUGUACUGGCCGCAGCAAAGGUAAUUCUAAAGAAGAGCAGAGGUUAGAAGUCAAAGAACAUAUUCUUGAAAGUUAUGAUGCAUUCUUUUGGGUGGUAACAGAUCAUAAAGACAUUUUUUACACAUCAGUUAAUAUGGGAUUAUUAAAUAUUGGCUAUAAGUGAUGUGUGUGUUUGUAUUUUUUUUCUGGCAUGAAAUAUCUCAAGUAAAUGCAUAG